GGGCCAGUAGCUCAGCUAGGUAGAGCGACGGGCUCUUAACCCGUCGGUCAAGGGUUCGAAUCCCUUCUGGCCCG
rnacentral:tRNA from 3 species